rnacentral:rRNA from 1 species
GACGAACGCUGGCGGCGUGCUUACACAUGCAAGUCGAACGGAAAGGCCCUGCUUUUGUGGGGUGCUCGAGUGGCGAACGGGUGAGUAACACGUGAGUAACCUGCCCUUGACUUUGGGAUAACUUCAGGAAACUGGGGCUAAUACCGGAUAGGAGCUCCUGCUGCAUGGUGGGGGUUGGAAAGUUUCGGCGGUUGGGGAUGGACUCGCGGCUUAUCAGCUUGUUGGUGGGGUAGUGGCUUACCAAGGCUUUGACGGGUAGCCGGCCUGAGAGGGUGACCGGCCACAUUGGGACUGAGAUACGGCCCAGACUCCUACGGGAGGCAGCAGUGGGGAAUAUUGCACAAUGGGCGGAAGCCUGAUGCAGCAACGCCGCGUGCGGGAUGACGGCCUUCGGGUUGUAAACCGCUUUCGCCUGUGACGAAGCGUGAGUGACGGUAAUGGGUAAAGAAGCACCGGCUAACUACGUGCCAGCAGCCGCGGUGAUACGUAGGGUGCGAGCGUUGUCCGGAUUUAUUGGGCGUAAAGGGCUCGUAGGUGGUUGAUCGCGUCGGAAGUGUAAUCUUGGGGCUUAACCCUGAGCGUGCUUUCGAUACGGGUUGACUUGAGGAAGGUAGGGGAGAAUGGAAUUCCUGGUGGAGCGGUGGAAUGCGCAGAUAUCAGGAGGAACACCAGUGGCGAAGGCGGUCCUCUGGGCCUUUCCUGACGCUGAGGAGCGAAAGCGUGGGGAGCGAACAGGCUUAGAUACCCUGGUAGUCCACGCUGUAAACGGUGGGUACUAGGUGUGGGGUCCAUUCCACGGGUUCCGUGCCGUAGCUAACGCUUUAAGUACCCCGCCUGGGGAGUACGGCCGCAAGGCUAAAACUCAAAGGAAUUGACGGGGCCCCGCACAAGCGGCGGAGCAUGCGGAUUAAUUCGAUGCAACGCGUAGAACCUUACCUGGGUUUGACAUGGAUCGGGAGUGCUCAGAGAUGGGUGUGCCUCUUUUGGGGUCGGUUCACAGGUGGUGCAUGGCUGUCGUCAGCUCGUGUCGUGAGAUGUUGGGUUAAGUCCCGCAACGAGCGCAACCCUUGUUCACUGUUGCCAGCACGUUAUGGUGGGGACUCAGUGGAGACCGCCGGGGUCAACUCGGAGGAAGGUGGGGAUGACGUCAAGUCAUCAUGCCCCUUAUGUCCAGGGCUUCACGCAUGCUACAAUGGCUGGUACAGAGAGUGGCGAGCCUGUGAGGGUGAGCGAAUCUCGGAAAGCCGGUCUCAGUUCGGAUUGGGGUCUGCAACUCGACCUCAUGAAGUCGGAGUCGCUAGUAAUCGCAGAUCAGCAACGCUGCGGUGAAUACGUUCCCGGGGCU